rnacentral:rRNA from 1 species
GGCGGCGUGCUUAACACAUAGCAAGUCGAACGCGAAAGGGACUUCGGUCCUGAGUAAAGUGGCGCACGGGUGAGUAACGCGUAGAUAACCUGUCUUCAUGUCUGGAAUAAUACGCCGAAAGGGGUACUAAUACCGGAUAUUCUUGCUUUUCAUAAGUUAUGCAAGCAAAGGUGGCCUCUGCAUAUGCUACUGCAUGAAGAGGGGUCUGCGUACCAUUAGCUAGUAGGUGGGGUAAUGGCCUACCUAGGCGACGAUGGUUAGCGGGUCUGAGAGGAUGAUCCGCCACACUGGCACUGGAACACGGGCCAGACUCCUACGGGAGGCAGCAGUGAGGAAUAUUGCGCAAUGGGGGAAACCCUGACGCAGCGACGCCGCGUGAGUGAAGGAAGGCCUUCGGGUCGUAAAGCUCUGUCAAGAGGAAAGAAGUGUACAAUGGCUAAUACCUGUUGUAUUUGACGGUACCUCUAAAGGAAGCACCGGCUAACUCCGUGCCAGCAGCCGC